AUACAAAGAUAGUAGUAUUAUACUAACAUCUGAUGGAGGAGAGUCAUCAGUGUCUGAAGGCAGAUUCUCUCUGCGGGACGAUCAUCAGACGAGAUCAUUUACGGUGACCAUCAGAGACCUGAGGAUGGCAGAUGCUGGAGAGUACGCCUGUAGAGCUGGAUGGGGAGAAUAUAAACGAUUCCAGCUGAAUGUGAUUAAAGCUCCACAGAAAACAAGACCUGUCCAGAUCUCAACAUCCACCCUUCUUCCGUAUAUAAACAUCAGCACUGACCAAACCAGCACAGUGACACCUCAAACAGAACGUGAAACUACAAGAACAAAGACAGGAAGUACUGCAGUUCACCUCAAUCAGCCAAAACCUAGUGAGCACACAAACUACA